rnacentral:rRNA from 1 species
CCCUUAGAUGUCCUGGGCCGCACGCGCGCUACACUGAUGCAUUCAACGAGUUUUUCCUUGGCCGAGAGGCCUGGGCAAUCUUUUGAACGUGCAUCGUGAUAGGGAUAGAUUAUUGCAAUUAUUAAUCUUGAACGAGGAAUUCCUAGUAAACGCAGAUCGUCAAUCUGCAUUGAUUACGUCCCUGCCCUUUGUACACACCGCUCGUCGCACCUACCGAUUGAAUGGUCCGGUGAAGCCUCGGGAUUGUGGCGAGUUCCCUUUAUUGGGAGUUUGUCGCGAGAACUUGUCUAAACCUUAUCAUUUAGAGGAAGGUGAAGUCGUAACA